rnacentral:rRNA from 1 species
AGGACGAACGCUGGCGGCGUGCUUAACACAUGCAAGUCGAACGGUAAGGCCUUUCGGGGUACACGAGUGGCGAACGGGUGAGUAACACGUGGGUGAUCUGCCCUGCACUUUGGGAUAAGCCUGGGAAACUGGGUCUAAUACCGAAUAUGACCAUUGGUUGCAUGACUGGUGGUGGAAAGCUUUUGCGGUGUGGGAUGGGCCCGCGGCCUAUCAGCUUGUUGGUGGGGUUAAGGCCUACCAAGGCGACGACGGGUAGCCGGCCUGAGAGGGUGUCCGGCCACACUGGGACUGAGAUACGGCCCAGACUCCUACGGGAGGCAGCAGUGGGGAAUAUUGCACAAUGGGCGCAAGCCUGAUGCAGCGACGCCGCGGUGAGGGACGACGGCCUUCGGGUUGUAACCUCUUUCAGUAGGGACGAAGCGCAAGUGACGGUACCUACAGAACGAAGGACCGGCCAACUACGCGCCAGCAGCCGC